rnacentral:sRNA from 1 species
UUUGACAAAAAUAUAGAGAAAAGCCGAAUAAAAGAGGGAUGCAACACGAGAACUUUUCAGGAGGUCACCCAUCCUAGUACGACUCUCCCCCAAGCACGCUUAACUACAGAGUUAUGAUGGGAUCUAGUGCAUUAGUGCUGGUAUGAUCGCAUCCGUUACUACAUGCAAUGCAAUUAUAUAUAUUCUUUUUUGAAGACUUUAUGAUCCAUUUGCCGUGGGUCCCACCAGCUAUAUAGGACUACCCUAUCUUGUUUAUAAGAGUUUUGAUACAUGCAAAAAAUAUUCGAAAAUAAUGUCCGAACAUAUAAUUUUGGCCCCGUAAUAUAGCAAAGAUCACGG